rnacentral:rRNA from 1 species
AGGACUAACGCUGGCGGCGUGCCUAACACAUGCAAGUCGAACGAGGUAGCAAUACCUAGUGGCAGACGGGUGAGUAACACGUGGUCAACCUGCCUUCGCGUGGGGGAUAACUAGUCGAAAGGUUAGCUAAUACCGCAUACGAUCGUUUCGGGGCAUCCCGAGACGAUGAAAGGAGCAAUCCGCACGAAGAGGGGACUGCGUCCCAUUAGUUAGUUGGUGGGGUAAUGGCCUACCAAGACUCCGAUGGGUAGCUGGCUUGAGAGAGCGACCAGCCACACUGGAACUGAGACACGGUCCAGACUCCUACGGGAGGCAGCAGUGAGGAAUUUUCCGCAAUGGGCGAAAGCCUGACGGAGCGACGCCGCGUGUGGGAAGAAGGCCUUCGGGUCGUAAACCACUGUCGAAGGGGACGAUAUUGACGGUACCCUUGGAGGAAGCCCCGGCUAACUACGUGCCAGCAGCCGC